AUAUUCCACCAUACCAUCUUGUCAAUGCUGAUCUUGUCUGAUCUUGGAAGCUAAGCAGGUUUGAGCCUGGUUAAUACAGUAUUCGGAUGUGAAACCACUGGGAAUACU
rnacentral:rRNA from 1 species